GACGAACGCUGGCGGCGUGCUUAACACAUGCAAGUCGAACGAAGUGGCGAACGGGUGAGUAACGCGUAAUCAACCUGCCCUUCAGAGGGGGACAACAGUGGGCAACGACUGCUAAUACCGCAUACUGAAGGAGGGGAUUGCGUCUGGUUAGUUAGUUGGAGGGGUACCGGCCCACUAAGGCGAUGAUCAGUAGCCGGUCGUAUGGGAUGAACGGCCCCAUCGGUAAUGGGGAACGGCCCCUGCUCCUUCGGGAGGCAGCCGUGGGGCAUCUUCCGCAAUGGACGAAAGUCUGACGUCGCAACGCCGCGUGAGUGAUGACGGCCUUCGGGUUUUAAAGCUCUGUUAAGCGGGGCGCGGUACCGGCAUAGAAAGCCACGGCUAACUCCGUGCCAGCAGCCGCGGUAAUAC
rnacentral:rRNA from 1 species